AUGGAGGGACUGGGCCAACCUAACGUCGGUGUUCGUCGAGGACAUUGCCGGACGGCUGCUCUCCGUCGACGUGUCCGAGUACCUGCGCUUCAGGGCCGUGUGCGCGCCCUGGCGCGAACUGACGGACGACCCACGCACGGGCGGCGUCCUAGACGGUUGGAUCCCUCUAUGCAAUCAGGCGUCGACCCCAUCGCGUCUCCGCCUCAGGAACACAACCACCAACGCCCGUGUCGGGCUGGACCUCCCGGUGUUGGCAGCCAGCCACCUCCUCAGUGUCCUCGAAGACCUCGACGGCCUCCUCGUCCUCUGCGACAAGGGCACAAGCGCCGUCCGCCUCCUCCACCCGCUCACCGGCGUGCUAGCCGAGUUCCCAGUCAUCGCCAACGUGCGGGACCGGGGCGGCGCCGGGGUUGCCAUGGACGCGUUCAGGUCCCGGUUCCCCAACCUCGGCCCCGAGCCACCGAAUGGAUACGACAUUGA
rnacentral:rRNA from 1 species